rnacentral:rRNA from 1 species
AAUGAACGUUGGCGGCGUGGAUUAGGCAUGCAAGUCGAGCGAGAAGUUCCUUCGGGAACGGACAGCGGCGAAAGGGAGAGGAAUACGUAGAAAUCUACCCCUGAGACCGGGAUAGCGUCGGGAAACUGGCAGUAAUACCGGAUAACGUCUUAGGACCAAAGGUGUGAUUCCACUUGGGGAUGAGUCUACGCCCUAUUAGCUAGUUGGUGGGGUAAUGGCCUACCAAGGCAAUGAUGGGUAGCGGGUGUGAGAGCAUGACCCGCCUCACUGGGACUGAGAACUGCCCAGACACCUACGGGUGGCUGCAGUCGAGAAUCUUUGUCAAUGGACGAAAGUCUGAACAAGCGACGCCGCGUGCGGGAUGAAGGCCUGGUUGUAACGUACGUGUCGUAGGGACG